rnacentral:rRNA from 1 species
GACGAACGCUGGCGGCGUGCCUAAUACAUGCAAGUCGAGCGAUUUACUUACGCAAGUGAGUAGAUAGCGGCGAACGGGUGAGUAACACGUGGGUAACCUACCCCUUAGACAGGGAUAGCCAUGGGAAACUGUGGGUAAUACCUGAUGGACCUAUGUAAUAGGAAGUUAUAUAGGGAAAGCGAAAUAGCGCUAAGGGAAGGGCCUGCGGCGCAUUAGCUAGUUGGUAGGGUAAGAGCUUACCAAGGCGAAGAUGCGUAGCCGACCUGAGAGGGUGUACGGCCACACUGGGACUGAGAGACGGCCCAGACUCCUACGGGAGGCAGCAGUAGGGAAUAUUCCGCAAUGGGCGAAAGCCUGACGGAGCGACGCCGCGUGAGUGAGGACGGCCUAAGAGGUUGUAAAGCUCUGUACUUUGGGAAGAAAGGAUGACGGUACCAAAGGAGUAAGCCCCGGCAAACUACGUGCCAGCAGCCGCGGUAAGACGUAGGGGGCAAGCGUUGUCCGGAAUUAUUGGGCGUAAAGAGCGCGUAGGCGGUAUUAUAAGUUAGAUGUAAAAGACUAGGGCUCAACCUUAGGGGAGCAUUUAAUACAGUAAUACUAGAGAGCGGUAGAGGUAUGUGGAAUUUCCGGUGUAGCGGUGGAAUGCGUAGAGAUCGGGAGGAACACCAGUGGCGAAGGCGAGAUACUGGGCCGCGACUGACGCUGAUGCGCGAGAGCGUGGGGAGCGAACAGGAUUAGAUACCCUGGUAGUCCACGCAGUAAACGAUGAGUGUUAGGUGUUGGGUGUGAUAGCAUUCAGUGCCGAAGGAAACCUAGUAAGCACUCCGCCUGAGUAGUACGGCCGCAAGGUUGAAACUCAAAGGAAUUGACGGGGGCCCGCACAAGCGGUGGAGCAUGUGGUUUAAUUCGAAGCAACGCGAAGAACCUUACCAGGUUUUGACAUCCCUAUGGAAUGUAUAGAGAUAUACAUGGCCGCGUAAGCGGACAUAGGAGACAGGUGGUGCAUGGUUGUCGUCAGCUCGUGUCGUGAGAUGUUGGGUUAAGUCCCGCAACGAGCGCAACCCUUAUUCUUAGUUACCAGCACGAAAUAAGGUGGGGACUCUAAGGAGACAGCCGAUGGAAGUCGGAGGAAGGUGGGGAUGACGUCAAAUCAUCAUGCCCCUUAUGACCUGGGCUACACACGUGCUACAAUGGCUGAUACAGAGGGAAACGAAGCUGGGAAGCGGAGCGGAUCUCAGAAAGUCAGUCUAAGUUCGGAUCGUAGGCUGCAACUCGCCUACGUGAAGUAGGAAUCGCUAGUAAUCGCGGAUCAGAAUGCCGCGGUGAAUACGUU